AUUGAACGCUGGCGGCAGGCCUAACACAUGCAAGUCGAGCGAGCGGCGGACGGGUGAGUAAUGUCUGUGAAACUGCCCGAUGGAGGGGGAUAACUACAGGAAACGGUAUCUAAUACCGCAUACCAUCAGAUGUGCCCAUAUGGGAUUAGCUAGUAGGUGGGGUAACGGCGCACCUAGGCGACGAUCCCUAGCUGGUCUGAGAGGAUGACACGCCACACUGGAACUGAGACACGGUCCAGACGCCUACGGGAGGCAGCAGUGGGGAAUAUUGCACAAUGGGCGCAAGCCUGAUGCAGCCAUGCCGCGUGUGUGAAGAAGGCCUUCGGGUUGUAAAGCACUUUCAGCGGGGAGGCGUUACCCGCAGAAGAAGCACCGGCUAACUCCGUGCCAGCAGCCGCGGUAAUUC
rnacentral:rRNA from 1 species